rnacentral:rRNA from 1 species
GUGCGUGGCGGCGGCUACACAUGCAGUCGAGCGGUACAGAGAGAAGCUUGCUUCUUUGCUGACGAGCGGCGGACGGGUGAGUAACGCGUAGGAAUCUACCGAUUAGUGGGGGAUAGCCCAGGGAAACUUGGAUUAAUACCGCAUACGCCCUAUGGGGGAAAGAUGGCCUCUUCUUGAAAGCUAUCGCUAUUGGAGGAGCCUGCGUUGGAUUAGCUAGUUGGUGGGGUAAAGGCCUACCAAGGCGACGAUCCAUAGCUGGUCUGAGAGGACGAUCAGCCACACUGGGACUGAGACACGGCCCAGACUCCUACGGGAGGCAGCAGUCGGGAAUAUUGGACAAUGGGCGCAAGCCUGAUCCAGCCAUGCCGCGUGUGUGAAGAAGGCCUUAGGGUUGUAAAGCACUUUCAGAAGUGAAGAAAGGCGUUGGGUGAAUAAUCUGACGUUUUGACGUUAGCUUCAGAAGAAGCACCGGCUAACUCCGUGCCAGCAGCCGCGGUAAUACGGAGGGUGCGAACGUUAAUCGGAAUUACUGGGCGUAAAGCGCGCGUAGGCGGCUUGUUAAGUCAGAUGUGACAGCCCGGGCUCAACCUGGGAAUUGCCUUUGAACCUGGCAAGCUAGAGUGGCGUAGAGGGAGGGGGAAUUCCAGUGGUACCGGGAAAUGCGGUAAAUUUUGGAAGGAACCCAGUGGCGAAGGGGGGCCCUUGGAAUUGCACUUGACGCUAAGGGUGCAAGCGUGGGGACAACCGGAUAGAUCCCGGGAU